GUACGGACGCAGGGGAGGCUUCGGUCGGGCGGAUGGGGAGCGGCGGCGCACUGCCAGGGUGUGGAAUACGACCUCUCGCAGGGGCCAUGGGGCGUGCACGGGGUUCAUGCGUUGUAGUGUUAGGGUUUAGGGUGCGGAGCGAUGCAGCGGGGUCGGGGAGGCCUGGAGGUCGACGGGGAGCGGCCGGAGUCGGGCUAGAGAGUUGGCCGGAAUUGGAGAAGAAAAAAAGGGAGAGAGGAGGGCUCCAGGGUGGCGCCAUGGUGGCACCGACAGGUGGGUCCCAUUAUCAGUUUUCGCAUCAAAACGCAAUCAAGUCGCACAUCAGUGCGCAGGAGUACAAUUGACCACAAAAGCGGUGGUAAUUUGAAUUUUUUUUAAAGGUGAUUUUUCUAGAUAAGUGCCUCAAAUGUGGUGGUUUUGAAUAAUUUUCUCUUCUUUUUAUUCUCUCACUAUUACAAAGUUGUACAAAAUCAACGACACUUAUUAUGGAUCGGAGUAGUACCAAUAAUCGAGUUUCAUUUCAGUUAAGAAAAAUAUCUGGACAGAUACCCUAUCAUGAUUUUUGAUGCAAAUCGUCGGAAGAGAAUCACACAAAUUAUAACCAGCGCGCAGAAGGUCUUGCAACUGGAUUGGGAAUAAUAGUUGCAUGUUAUUGUUGCUGGAAAGAGUAUCCUUUCAAGUUUUCAUCGUAAAGAUCAUACUGCCACAAGCCCACAAGGAGUCAGGCUACUUUCCGCUGGUGAAGGGAAGCUAGCCACGCCGGCAGGCAGCAGGUUCAGCAUCGUGGACGAUCACGGCGAGGACGAGGACGACCUCGAGACCGCCAAGUUAUCCGCGGCAGUACAAAGACCAUGGAGCAAGAUAGGGAGGCAACGGACUCUCGGAUCAGGACGGUUGCACUCUUUUUUACAUCUAUUACAAUAUAUAUUGCAAUCGGUGGUGAUGGGUGGGCGUCGUUGGUCGGUGUUGGUCGGUCAAUUUCGUUAAAAUUACAA